rnacentral:rRNA from 1 species
AUUGAACGCUGGCGGCAGGCCUAACACAUGCAAGUCGAACGAGUGGCGGACGGGUGAGGAAUGUCUGGGAAACUGCCCGAUGGAGGGGGAUAACUACUGGAAACGGUAGCUAAUACCGCAUACCAUCGGAUGUGCACAGAUGGGAUUAGCUAGUAGGUGGGGUAACGGCUCACCUAGGCGACGAUCCCUAGCUGGUCUGAGAGGAUGACCAUCCACACUGGACCUGGGACACGGUCCAGACUCCUACGGGAGUAAGCAGUGGGGAAUAUUGCACAAUGGGCGCAAGCCUGAUGCAGCCAUGCCGCGUGUAUGAAGAAGGCCUUCGGGUUGUAAAGUACUUUCAGCGGGGAGGCGUUACCCGCAGAAGAAGCACCGGCUAACUCCGUGCCAGCAGCCGCGGUAAUAC